GCAUCAGUCGACACAGCGACUGAUUGUAUGAUUCAGCAAACGCUCGGGCAACACUUUAGCGACUCUACUGUGAUAAUGAUCGCCCAUCGUAUCACCUCUGUGCUUGAUAGCGACAUGGUUUUGGUUUUAGAACAAGGUCUGAUCGAUGAAUAUGAUUCUCCAACAAAGUUGCUGGAAGAUCAAUCAUCUUCAUUCGCAAAGCUCGUUGCUGAGUAUAGUAUCAGAUCGAAUUCCAGUUUUGAAAACUUAGCAGCAACAUAAUAUUUUGGUGGUAAUGGUGAGUGAAUAAGCCCUUUCUACCAUUAAGCUCGAUAAGACGCAAAUAAAAGCCCCUAACCCGACUUAAACUGUGGGUGGGUCUGAUUUUCUUCGGCUUGAGGAGCUUGGUGCACCAUGGUCACCCUUGAUGGAUCAAACAAAUUUGAUAUAUGGGUUUUAAACAUUAUGUAACAAAAUAAAAAUUACUGAGGCUGUUGGACUAUGUUAUGUUAUACGACUAUUCUGUAUGUAUUGUGUAGGGGUUAGUUUUGUCAUUUCACUGUUUAGUAUGCAUUAGGUGUUGGCUUUAAAAUGGUUUCAGCUUCUGUGUAUGUUGCUGUUUGUUUUGUACAAUCUUUUGGGAUGUGAUCA